GUGGAUUAGUGGCGAACGGGUGAGUAACACGUGGGCAAUCUGCCCUUCACUCUGGGACAAGCCCUGGAAACGGGGUCUAAUACCGGAUAACACUUCUUCGGGCAUCUGAAGAGGUUGAAAGCUCCGGCGGUGAAGGAUGAGCCCGCGGCCUAUCAGCUUGUUGGUGGGGUAAUGGCCUACCAAGGCGACGACGGGUAGCCGGCCUGAGAGGGCGACCGGCCACACUGGGACUGAGACACGGCCCAGACUCCUACGGGAGGCAGCAGUGGGGAAUAUUGCACAAUGGGCGAAAGCCUGAUGCAGCGACGCCGCGUGAGGGAUGACGGCCUUCGGGUUGUAAACCUCUUUCAGCAGGGAAGAAGCGAAAGUGACGGUACCUGCAGAAGAAGCGCCGGCUAACUACGUGCCAGCAGCCGCGGUAAUACGUAGGGCGCAAGCGUUGUCCGGAAUUAUUGGGCGUAAAGAGCUCGUAGGCGGCUUGUCGCGUCGGAUGUGAAAGCCCGGGGCUUAACCCCGGGUCUGCAUUCGAUACGGGCAGGCUAGAGUGUGGUAGGGGAGAUCGGAAUUCCUGGUGUAGCGGUGAAAUGCGCAGAUAUCAGGAGGAACACCGGUGGCGAAGGCGGAUCUCUGGGCCAUUACUGACGCUGAGGAGCGAAAGCGUGGGGAGCGAACAGGAUUAGAUACCCUGGUAGUCCACGCC
rnacentral:rRNA from 1 species